GUAGGGUGCGAGCGUUAAUCGGAAUUACUGGGCGUAAAGCGUGCGCAGGCGGCUUUGCAAGACAGAUGUGAAAUCCCCGGGCUCAACCUGGGAACUGCAUUUGUGACUGCAAGGCUAGAGUACGGCAGAGGGGGAUGGAAUUCCGCGUGUAGCAGUGAAAUGCGUAGAUAUGCGGAGGAACACCGAUGGCGAAGGCAAUCCCCUGGGCCUGUACUGACGCUCAUGCACGAAAGCGUGGGGAGCAAACAGGAUUAGAUACCCUGGUAGUCCACGCCCCUAAACGAUGUCAACUGGUUGUUGGACGGCUUGCUGUUCAGUAACGAAGCUAACGCGUGAAGUUGACCCGCCUGGGGAGUACGGCCGCAAGGUUG
rnacentral:rRNA from 1 species